GUCAUCGCACAAUAAAGUCAUAGUGAACGGCCCUAUCAUAUCGGUUUCGAUUUCCGAUAACUCUACCAAAUUGGAAUCACCGAUUCAUAUGACUUUUGAACAUGGACAGACAAACUUCACAAAGGCAUCAUGCAACUUCUGGAGGUUUAGGCCUGGGCAGCUGGGCUAUUGGGCCAACGACGGAUGCAUAAAUCAAACUUCAAAUGACAUUAUUACUGUGUGUGAAUGCAAC